rnacentral:rRNA from 1 species
GACGUAGGGGGCCAGCGUUGUUCGGAAUUACUGGGUGUAAAGGGUUCGUAGGCGGUGCGGCAAGUCGGGUGUGAAAUCUCGGGGCUUAACUCCGAAACUGCAUUCGAUACUACCGUGCUUGAGGACUGGAGAGGAGACUGGAAUUUACGGUGUAGCGGUGAAAUGCGUAGAUAUCGUAAGGAAGACCAGUGGCGAAGGCGGGUCUCUGGACAGUUCCUGACGCUGAGGCACGAAGGCCAGGGGAGCAAACGGG